rnacentral:misc_RNA from 1 species
ACAAGGUACUCCCUCCGCUUCACAACAUAAUUUAUUCUAGCAUUUCCCACAUUCAUAUUGAUGUUAAUGAAUCUAGAUCUAGAUUCAUUAACAUCAAUAUGAAUGUGGGAAAUGCUAAAAUGAAUUAUAUAGAUUCAUUAACAUCAAUAUGAAUGUGGGAAAUGCUAGAAUGAAUUACAUUGUGAAACGG